rnacentral:rRNA from 1 species
AUCCUGGCUCAGAUUGAACGCUGGCGGCAUGCCUUACACAUGCAAGUCGAACGGUAACGGGCCUUCGGGUGCCGACGAGUGGCGAACGGGUGAGUAAUGCAUCGGAACGUACCUUUCAGUGGGGAUAACGUAGCGAAAGUUACGCUAAUACCGCAUAUUCUGUGAGCAGGAAAGCAGGGGAUCGCAAGACCUUGCGCUGAUUGAGCGGCCGAUGUCAGAUUAGCUAGUUGGUGAGGUAAAGGCUCACCAAGGCGACGAUCUGUAGCGGGUCUGAGAGGAUGAUCCGCCACACUGGAACUGAGACACGGUCCAGACUCCUACGGGAGGCAGCAGUGGGGAACUUUGGACAAUGGGGGCAACCCUGAUCCAGCCAUGCCGCGUGAGUGAAGAAGGCCUUCGGGUUGUAAAGCUCUUUCGGCCGGGAAGAAAUCGCAUGGGUUAAUACCCUGUGCGGAUGACGGUACCGGCAUAAGAAGCACCGGCUAACUACGUG